AGCGGCGAACGGGUGAGUAACACGUAGGUGAUCUGCCCAUCAGACGGGGACAACGAUUGGAAACGAUCGCUAAUACCGGAUAGGACGAAAGUUUAAAGGUGCUUCUGGCACCGCUGAUGGAUGAGCCUGCGGCGCAUUAGCUAGUUGGUAGGGUAAAGGCCUACCAAGGCGACGAUGCGUAGCCGACCUGAGAGGGUGAACGGCCACACUGGGACUGAGACACGGCCCAGACUCCUACGGGAGGCAGCAGUAGGGAAUCUUCGGCAAUGGGCGAAAGCCUGACCGAGCAACGCCGCGUGAAUGAUGAAGGCCUUCGGGUUGUAAAAUUCUGUUAUAAGGGAAGAACGACUUUAGUAGGAAAUGGCUAGAGUGUGACGGUACCUUAUGAGAAAGCCACGGCUAACUACGUGCCAGCAGCCGCGGUAAUACGUAGGUGGCGAGCGUUAUCCGGAAUUAUUGGGCGUAAAGAGCGCGCAGGUGGUUGAUUAAGUCUGAUGUGAAAGCCCACGGCUUAACCGUGGAGGGUCAUUGGAAACUGGUCGACUUGAGUGCAGAAGAGGGAAGCGGAAUUCCAUGUGUAGCGGUGAAAUGCGUAGAGAUAUGGAGGAACACCAGUGGCGAAGGCGGCUUCCUGGUCUGUAACUGACACUGAGGCGCGAAAGCGUGGGGAGCAAACAGGAUUAGAUACCCUGGUAGUCCACGCCGUAAACGAUGAGUGCUAAGUGU
rnacentral:rRNA from 1 species